rnacentral:rRNA from 1 species
GAUGAACGCUGACAGCAUGCUUAACACAUGCCAGUCUUUGGCGAAGCUGUGCUUGCACCGCCUAGCCAAGGCGGACGGGUGAGUAACGCGUAAGGAACUUGCCCUGCAGUCAGGGAUAACAGACGGAAACGACUGAUAAGACCUGGUAAAGUCAGGCGGACUCAUGUCCAGCCUGAUGAAAAGAGAUGCUGCAGGAGAGCCUUGCGUCCUAUUAGCUUGUUGGUGGGGUAACGGCCCACCAAGGCGAUGAUAGGUAGCCGGCCUGAGAGGGUGGACGGCCACAAGGGGACUGAGAUACGGCCCUUACUCCUACGGGAGGCAGCAGUGGGGAAUAUUGGACAAUGGGGGCAACCCUGAUCCAGCAAUUCUGUGUGCACGAUGAAGGUUUUCGGAUUGUAAAGUGCUUUCAGCAGGGAAGAAAAAAAUGACGGUACCUGCAGAAGAAGCGACGGCUAAAUACGUG